rnacentral:rRNA from 1 species
GGAACGUGUCCUGGAGUGGGGGAUAGCCCGGCGAAAGCCGGAUUAAUACCGCAUACGCUCUGUGGAGGAAAGCGGGGGAUCUUCGGACCUCGCGCUCAAGGGGCGGCCGAUGGCAGAUUAGCUAGUUGGUGGGGUAAAGGCCUACCAAGGCGACGAUCUGUAGCUGGUCUGAGAGGACGACCAGCCACACUGGGACUGAGACACGGCCCAGACUCCUACGGGAGGCAGCAGUGGGGAAUUUUGGACAAUGGGGGCAACCCUGAUCCAGCAAUGCCGCGUGUGUGAAGAAGGCUUUCGGGUUGUAAAGCACUUUUGUCCGGAAAGAAAACCGCUUCUCUAAUACAGAGGCGGGAUGACGGUACCGGAAGAAUAAGCACCG